rnacentral:rRNA from 1 species
AGGCAGCAGUGGGGAAUAUUGCACAAUGGGCGCAAGCCUGAUGCAGCCAUGCCGCGUGUGUGAAGAAGGCCUUCGGGUUGUAAAGCACUUUCAGCGAGGAGGAAGGCGUUGUAGUUAAUAGCUGCAGCGAUUGACGUUACUCGCAGAAGAAGCACCGGCUAACUCCGUGCCAGCAGCCGCGGUAAU